GCGUAGGCAUUGUGGAGAAUAUUUGCAUCUGAAUGCCUAAAAUGCCCUGUUGUCCGGCUCUACAUGAGGGAUGGAGAUUUAAAAAAGAUUUCCAUCUAUCUCGGCAGACAGUUAAUUCCUUGGUACACAAAAGACCAUGGCUAGGGAAAGGACCUGGAGGUGGGGAGUUAUCUCUACUGGCCACCUCAUACUGGGUGGUGUCAGAGACCUUCAAUCUCCUCAUCACCGCUGUUCAUGAUGUGGUGCAGCUGGUCGCAGGCAGCAUCACGUAGAUCAUGAAGAAGGUGGUGUAUCUCCCUUCUGCUGCUGAGAGCAUAAGGCAAGGCUUGGCUGGUUCUCGUGUCUUCAACAAAGUGGCUGGCAGCAUUGAUGGCUCCCCGGCCUAAGACGGAUGGUGGAGGUAUGUGGCAGUGGGGCGUGGUUCAGCUCAGCUGCAAGGGAGAGAUGUGUGGGGAGGGCUUGUGGGAACAGAGCCAGAGCUCAUUGACACAGGUGUGAGCUUGUGGCUGAUUGCGCUCUUUCUUUGUCUCUCUGCAGUAGCAUGCUGGACCCGGAGAAGCACACGUACACGGCAGGAGGCUCUUGGAGGAGCAGCUUUAGUUGUAGUUUAGUUUGGCCUGUGAUUUACAUGGCCGUUAUGAGCCGUAAGGACAAAACAACAACAGUGACCUUAAUAUAAUUUAUUUUGCAAAAGUACAUGUUAAAAGGGUAAAGAUAAAAAUUAGUGGCUCUUGAAUUUAUAUUCUGGUGAAAGUGAUGCAACUCCGCAACUUGGUAAACUCGACAACAAACUCUGACCAGGAUUUUUAUUCAAAUUAUUCACAAACAAUAUUUAUUAAAUGACCAGCAAAGAGGUCGUCACACUAGACUUCUCUGAUAAAACCUCCAGAUGUGAAGGUGGCGAGCUGUCCUCCCUUCACAGGAUUUGCCUCAUCCUUGCAUCCAUACAAUAAAACAUCCCAUCGUAAAAAUUUAAAUAAAGGUACACCCACACACACAUAUACAUCUAUACGUCCCCCCCUCCACUUGCCAUAUAUGCAAUUUGCGACAAAUGCAGGGUUUAAGCCUCAGCCCACACUCCAUAUUCUGUUCUGCUCUCCAUUUCACAACCCAUAGAUUUCCUCAGACUAAAGCCUCUGAGAGCAUAUACACACAGAAGCUCUUACUAUCUCCCCUUGUCAUGAUGAUGGGCAAUAAUUUCCCAUCCACAUUACAUAACUCUGAUAAACCUCUUAAAACGCCAUGCCUCUCAGUGUGGAAAUUUCUAAUCCCAGUGGAUGCCUCAGCAGCAGGCCAGAGCCUGUUUUAAUUUUCAAUAACUGUUAACAUUCGAACGUUUCACCGAUGGUAGAGUUGAGACUUUUAUCCAGAGUGUCUUGAAAUGCUGCGUUUGAGCAGAUCAUUUGGCUGCCCUUUGCUUUCACAGCAGACACGAACGCAGCGGUAGCUGCCAUCAUAACAGACUUCAAAAGGAAGUUAAGACGUGCUGGUGACAGUUUAUGAAGACAAUGGAGAGAGAGGAUUUUGUUUAACUGCAGAACUUACAGCAAGAAAGGCAAACCCCAUUGUGAUUUUUUUGUUUCUUUUUCAUUCCUUUGUUUCCUUUCCUCUCCUCUGGAUUUAAUUUCAGCUUCCAGUUAUUCCUUACGCCUUAUUGCUCUCUCCCCAUUCUACAGAUUUAAUGACUUUUUUCACUUGCCAUUAAUGUCACAAUAAAGCAAUAAUAAAUGUACAGAGUUGAAUUACACGCAUGCAUGCACAGACUGCUCACAUUUUCUUCGCAUCCCCAGAGCCGUACCAACCUGAUGUCACUUCCAAGUCUUCGAAUAAAACCAGCGAUGUUGGUUUAAUGUGUCAGUAUGUGAUUCUUUCACUUGAAGAUAAAUGGUCACUGGUUGAUGCAUUAUAGCUAAUUGUUUUGAUGCGGCAAGGAAAUCGGUUGGGGUUGGUGGUUGAGGAAAUGCAUGGAAUAAUUUCUGAGCCCCUCUGGCUUCCAUGUGACAAUGCCAAAGCCUUUGGCAGUGACAGUCAACCUUCUUCUUGUUUAGCCACAGUUAGAUAUGAAGAGCUGCCAAUCAAGACUUUUUUCCCAGCAGGUUUUCUUUGUUUUUUUUCCAACUCACAACAGCUCUGCUCCUGUCUUCUUCUGAGAGUCCGAAACAUUUGCAGCAAAUCAGAUGAUAUGAUUGAAGUCUACUGAUCUUUAGCCAGGCUGACCUGAUUGCAGAUGCAAUGAUGAACCUUCUUAUGCUUAUACAUGUUGACUUUUAUGGACAGUGCACGGCCAUCACAGAAGUCCAGAUAAGUUCAGAUCAGAUCAGGCAGGCCAAUCCCCCCAGUCACCCUUCUCUAAGUGUCUUCAUCAAGUCUACCAGAACUAUGAAGACCCCAGCUGGGAUCCCUGCCAGAACUUCAACCAGAGGCUGUGUUCUCUGAACUGCUAUUUGGUGCAAACACACACACACACACACACACACACACACACACACACACACACACACACACACACACACACACACACACACACACUCAGUCAGCACAGUUCAUGGAGGUAAACCUGACCAUACUUGGCCUGGCUGGGCCAUCCAGUUGCGUGAAUCACUUGCCGUUCCUUCCCACAACAGUCUGGACUUCGGCCAAUUGGGAGUGUGUAUUAGAAAUCAGAAAAUAACCGGGCCAAUCAGUGACUGUGUUUCCACUGUUUCCCGGACAACAGGGAAAGGCAGCCCCUGAUUGGUCCAUGUGUAGAUGGUGACGUCUAACACAUGCUGUGGGACUUUUCAAAGCGCCGUUAAUUCUACAGUUGACUUUGCAAAGUCGGCAGAAAUCGUUUAUAUCCGCAGAAGAAGACAUAAAAGGCAUUGUUUGCUCGCACACGUUGAAAUAUUACCAAACCCUUACUUGAUGCUUGAGAGCCCAGCAGGGAACACAGUUGCGCACUGUGAUGAUGUCAGAUGUUUGGUUACAGUGAUUGGUUUCAGUAGUCUGUCUAUCAAGGAAAGUACUCCUGCCCACUUUUAGGGCUCCCAAUGGGCUGAAGACUGUUGUGGGAAGGAACGCCAAGUGAUUCAUGCAACUGGAUGGCCCAGCCAGGCUAGACCAUACCUAUCUGAUACUACUCCAGUAUGAUAGCACAGCCAUAUGACAAGGUGUAUCAUGGUGCAUUGAGAUUUAUAAUAAAUUGUGGCUUUUUUGCUUAUCUGACCUUUGUAUCUCUCUUGCAAAAAAGAGAUCCCUGAUUUUAAUGGGACUAACCUGGCUUAAAAAAGCUCAAUAAAGGUCACUUGAUUACCGGUCUUUCCUUGAAGAUUUACGACAGCUACGGCUGCAAUUUUAAAGUGUAUUACUCAUACAAGUGCAAAAUGUUAAGUAAUGCUUUUUUAUCCCACAUCAUGACUUCCAUCUCAAAUACCAACUGGUAGUUUUGGCACUUGAACACAUCCAGACUUCAGUUUUCUGCAUGGUUGCACAAAGUUACACAACCAUAAGUGUUCACAAACUGAAUUUGGAACUGUUAAAGGGCUGUUUCAUUAACUUUAAUUUGAAAGUUUUACCAAAAGUUUGAUCUUUACUGAAGCUAAUCAACAAAUUAUGAAGCUCUGAAAUUGUUUUAUUUAAGACUCAAGAAAACAAACCAACCUCCUUGUAAAACAAAAACAAACAACAAAAAAACUGUGUUAGAGCCCGUAGGACAUACACAAAAAUAAAAACAGACUCACUCAGAGAGGGGCUGCUGAUGUUUUAGCUCUAAAAAUGUAUCUGUGAAUGCUUGCUGCUUUUCCUCUCCUCACAUGCUAACACACAUUUAUAGAUCCCUGUAUAGUGACGCGCCAAGUCAAUUCAGUUUUAAAAAAGGGGCCUUUUAGCAUAUGCUGUCUGCCUUCCUGUGUCACUCACACAUGCCUGCAUCAGUAAAAAUAGACUGGAGCUUGAUGAAUGUGCUCGCUGUUGUAUUGAAUCCUGGUGCUGAAUGGUGGAAGCUAUUGUUAUCACUAUAAAGGCCUUGAAUGUUGCUGGGAGGGGGUAGGGUCUUUGGAAUGAUAAAUGUACCAGACUGGGGAAAGUAAUUAUUCUACGGAUGUAAAGUAAUGUUGGAAACUCCUCCUAAUCUUAUCUAUAUAAUGAAGAGAGAAAACAAAAAAGAAAGAGUAACAAGCAGACAGCACUCAUCAUUUCUCCAGACUGAUAAGAGACAACUUCCUGUUUACUCAGUUUAAACAUCACAACAAAAGUGUUCCAAAAAGAGAUAAUGGUUUAAAGUUCUUGAGGGUGUCACUGUUAAUUAUUUCAGUGUGCAAAUUAAUAAUGAUAAUAAUAAAAGAUUGGUGUCUUUAAAUGUAAAGUUUGAGUAACUAACUCGUUAAACAUUAUGUACCAGGAGAAGGCUGAUAAGAUAACACUGAAGUCUGGUCGGUCAAGCUUCAGGGUGGAGUGACCUCUCCCCCACUCAUUGUAAAUUCCACCUCAGUGCCAGCUAGACACAGCUGCACUGAUAGUAAGUAAUGUUGCAAUGACAAACUCAGUGUUUGUCCCUGAAAAGUCCCUUAACUUUUUGUUGGCCAUAAAAUUUCCAAGUUGGAGUAUAAUUAAAGAAGACUCAUUUGUCAAUUAUUGUUUUAAGGAAAGAGUGCAUGAAUUAUUCACUACUAUCAGGUUAUUAUGAUAUUAAUUGUACGGCCAUAUAUGGUCAAGCAACUUGUCUCUUACUUGUCUCCCUCCUUUUCACCCUCAACAUGCUCCCCCUUGGCGAUAUCAUUCAGAAACAUGGGCUUAAUGUUCACUGCUAUGCUGACAACAUCCAGAUCUACAAUUCCAACCACCUGGUCUACUUUCUCCACCUGCCUCACUAAAAUGAAUUCAUGGAUGUGAACCAACUUCCUUCAACUGAACUGCAGUAAAUCUGACAUUAUAAUCAUUGGCCCCAAAUCACUCACUAAACCCGCUCAGAACCUCUGCCUCAAUUUUGAUAAUUCCACCCUCCCUCCAUCAUCCAGCAUCCACAACCUCAGGUAAUCUCUGAUACCAACCUCUUUCCGCCCUUCACUCUCCUCCGCCGCUGAAACUCUGAUCCAUGCUUUUAUCACAUCCAGAAUCAAUUACUACAAUAAUAUCUUGUCUGGUUCACCCUCCAACAUUAUCAAUAAAUUACAAUACAUCCAAAUCUCUGCCGCUCGCCUCCUCACCCAUACCCAUUCACACGAACACAUCACUCCAGUUCUCCAUAACCUCCAUUGGCUUCCUGUUCGCCAACACAUUAAGUUUGAAACCCUUCUCCUCACCUUCAAA